rnacentral:lncRNA from 1 species
CUGGGCGGACUGGGCGCUGCGAGACAGACUGGGCGGACUGGACGCUGCGAGACAGACUGGGCGCUGCGAGACAGACUGGGCGGACUGGACGCUGCGAGACAGACUGGGCGGACUGGGCGCUGCGAGACAGACUGGGCGGACUGGACGCUGCGAGACAGACUGGGCGCUGCGAGACAGACUGGGCGGACUGGACGCUGCGAGACAGACUGGGCGGACUGGACGCUGCGAGACAGACUGGGCGGACUGGACGCUGCGAGACAGACUGGGCGGACUGGGCGCUGCGAGACUGACUGGGCGGACUGGGCGCUGCGAGACAGACUGGGCGGACUGGACGCUGCGAGACAGACUGGGCGCUGCGAGACAGACUGGGCGGACUGGACGCUGCGAGACAGACUGGGCGGACUGGACGCUGCGAGACAGACUGGGCGGACUGGACGCUGCGAGACAGACUGGGCGGACUGGACGCUGCGAGACAGACUGGGCGGACUGGGCGCUGUGAGACAGACUGGGCGGACUGGGCGCUGCGAGACAGACUGGGCGGACUGGACGCUGCGAGACAGACUGGGCGGACUGGACGCUGCGAGACAGACUGGGCGGACUGGACGCUGCGAGACAGACUGGGCGGACUGGACGCUGCGAGACUGGACGCUGCGAGACAGACUGGGCGGACUGGACGCUGCGAGACUGGACGCUGCGAGACAGACUGGGCGGACUGGACGCUGCGAGACUGGACGCUGCGAGACAGACUGGGCGGACUGGACGCUGCGAGACUGGACGCUGCGAGAGGACCCGCAUCACAAAGCCCUGGUUCAGACCUCGGAUAAAAUGCACAAAACCCUACGAGGUUACAGCAACCAGCCUCGGUUCUCUAAAAACAUUGUCCUUGUCAGCCACUUACUUAGUAUUAGUGGGAAUCUAUUUACGCUGAGAGAAUUUAUGGAAAGAUACAACUUUGAGGUUUCAAGCAAGGAAUAUGACACUGUUAUAAAAUCUAUACCUUGUGGGGUAAAAUAUUUACUUCAGAAUAAUGCAUAUUUUGGAACAUAUAUUGUAAGCGAUAUCCAGAGGAAUGGCGUAGGUUUACUAGAUAAGAAAUUCAACAAUCUUAUAUUAAAGGAUAUUUUCUACAGGAAGUCUAUUCCCUCUGCUAUAUUUUGUUGA